GAAAUUUCGGUAAUUUUCGGGAAAUUUCCCGAUAUUUCCUACCAGUCCAGCCCGCGCACAGGAUACAAAAUCUGUCCAAUCUUUUUUUAUAAAAAAACAUAAGAUGCUAUUUGGUAAUCUGAUCAUGAUUUGCAGGGAAAGGUUGUGUUUUUCAGCAUGGCUCAAAAAUCGUGGAUUUAGGGUUCGUGAAAUUUAAAUCCAAUGGCACAAAAGCAAAGAGACCCCUAGAACAGAUCCAGAAAGCACUGGGAGCCAAAAAAAAAAAAGCAAUUUUUUUGGUUUUCCUUGGGGGUUUUCAAUGGAUUUUCUUGGGAAUCAAACGGGGGUUGCAAAAAAAAUAAAAAAUAAUAACAUGAUUAGAUUAGUACCUGCGAGGAUUGAGAGUGGCAGAGGAAAAUAGGGCCUUUUUGAGGAGUGUAAAAUGGGAUUCUUCACUGGGUGAAGCUUGUUGCCAAUGUAGUGAAGGCUUGUUGCCAAUGUAGGGAAGGAAAUGCUACCAGCGGUGGCAAAUUCAAUUUCAUGGGGCAAAAUGAUUCUUCACUGGGUUGAAACUUUGGAACCAAAUCCAACGAGAUUUUGGAGAUUAUGGAUGCUGUAAUUUGGGUUGGGUUUAGGAAAACAUUGAAACUAACCCAAUCGAAUAUGGGUUAGAUUUGGCUUGGGACAUAAUGAAG
rnacentral:lncRNA from 1 species